rnacentral:rRNA from 1 species
CAGUCGCCGCGGUAAAACGGAGGGCGCGAGCGUUACCCCGAUUUACUGGGCGUAAAGGGCGCGUAGGCGGCCUGGGGCGUCCCAUGUGAAAGGCCACGGCUCAACCGUGGAGGAGCGUGGGAUACGCUCAGGCUAGAGGGUGGGAGAGGGUGGUGGAAUUCCCGGAGUAGCGGUGAAAUGCGCAGAUACCGGGAGGAACGCCGAUGGCGAAGGCAGCCACCUGGUCCACUUCUGACGCUGAGGCGCGAAAGCGUGGGGAGCAAACCGGAUUAGAUACCCCAGUAGUCCCUGUCUCUUAUAC